UAUUAAAAAUUUUAUUCAUUUGUAUUGUUAAAAACUAGUGUGGCUAAUGGAAUAACCUGGCAAUGACAAAUGGCAUGCCACAUAUACCUCAUAUUGACGUACAUGAACCAUUUUUUAACAACAGGAAUGGAUGGAAUUUUUAACA
rfam:Gossypium raimondii Chr10_contig_16, whole genome shotgun sequence.